UACGGGGAAGGCAGCAGUAGGGAAUCUUCCACAAUGGACGCAGUCUGAUGGAGCACGCCGCGUGAGUGAAGAAGGUUUUCGGAUCGUAAAGCUCUGUUGUUGGUGAAGAAGGAUAGAGGCAGUAACUGGUCUUUAUUUGACGGUAAUCAACCAGAAAGUCACGGCUAACUACGUGCCAGCAGCCGCGGUAAUACGUAGGUGGCAAGCGUUGUCCGGAUUUAUUGGGCGUAAAGCGAGCGCAGGCGGAAUGAUAAGUCUGAUGUGAAAGCCCACGGCUCAACCGUGGAACUGCAUCGGAAACUGUCAUUCUUGAGUGCAGAAGAGGAGAGUGGAAUUCCAUGUGUAGCGGUGGAAUGCGUAGAUAUAUGGAAGAACACCAGUGGCGAAGGCGGCUCUCUGGUCUGCAACUGACGCUGAGGCUCGAAAGCAUGGGUAGCGAACAGGAUUAGAUACCCUUGGUAG
rnacentral:rRNA from 1 species